rnacentral:rRNA from 1 species
UGCAAGUCGUGCGGGAAAGUCCCCUUCGGGGGGCGAGUAUAGCGGCGAACGGGUGAGUAACACGUAGGUAACCUGCCUUGAAGACUGGGAUAACCCGUCGAAAGAUGUGCUAAUACCGGAUAAGACCACGCGGCCCUCGGGACGCGGGGGAAAAGGUGGCCUCUGCAUGCAAGCUACCACUUCAAGAUGGGCCUGCGCGCCAUUAGCUUGUUGGUGAGGUAACGGCUCACCAAGGCAAAGAUGGCUAGCUGGUCUGAGAGGAUGGCCAGCCACACUGGGACUGAGACACGGCCCAGACUCCUACGGGAGGCAGCAGUGGGGAAUAUUGCGCAAUGGGCGAAAGCCUGACGCAGCGACGCCGCGUGGGUGAUGAAGGCCUUCGGGUCGUAAAGCCCUGUCGGGAGGGAAGAAAUCUCGGCGACCUAAUACGUCGUUGUUUUGACGGUACCUCCUAAGGAAGCACCGGCUAACUCCGUGCCAGCAGCCGCGGUAAUACGGAGGGUGCAAGCGUUGUUCGGAAUCACUGGGCGUAAAGCGCGUGUAGGCGGCCUCCUAAGUUCGGUGUGAAAGCCCGGGGCU